rnacentral:rRNA from 1 species
CCUGGCUUAGGACGAACGCUGGCGGCGUGCCUAACACAUGCAAGUCGAGCGGGGACAUGCGACGGAAGAGAAGUUUCGGAUGGAUCUGAAGAUGUAUGUUCUAGCGGCGGACGGGUGAGUAACGCGUGAGCAACCUGUCCUUCACAGGGGGAUAACACAGCGAAAGUUGUACUAAUACCGCAUAAGACCACAGCGGGACAUCCCGCAGGGGUCAAAGGAGCAAUCCGGUGAAGGGUGGGCUCGCGUCCGAUUAGAUAGUUGGUGAGGUAACGGCCCACCAAGUCGACGAUCGGUAGCCGACCUGAGAGGGUGAUCGGCCACAUUGGGACUGAGACACGGCCCAAACUCCUACGGGAGGCAGCAGUGGGGAAUAUUGGGCAAUGGGGGGAAACCCUGACCCAGCAACGCCGCGUGAGGGAAGAAGGUUUUCGGAUCGUAAACCUCUGUCCUUGGUGAAGAGGAAGAGACGGUAGCCAAGGAGGAAGCCCCGGCUAACUACGUGCCAGCCGCGGC